AGAGCCGCAUGGCUCAGUGGGAAAAACUCCGGUGGUAUGAGAUGGACCCGCGUCUGAUUAGGUAGUUGGUGGGGUAACGGCCUACCAAGCCAACGAUCAGUAGCCGACCUGAGAGGGUGACCGGCCACAUUGGGACUGAGACACGGCCCAAACUCCUACGGGAGGCAGCAGUGGGGAAUAUUGCACAAUGGGGGAAACCCUGAUGCAGCGACGCCGCGUGAGCGAAGAAGUAUUUCGGUAUGUAAAGCUCUAUCAGCAGGGAAGAAAAUGACGGUACCUGACUAGGAAGCACCGGCUAAAUACGUGCCAGCAGCCGCGGUAAUACGUAUGGUGCAAGCGUUAUCCGGAUUUACUGGGUGUAAAGGGAGCGUAGACGGCUGUGUAAGUCUGAAGUGAAAGCCCGGGGCUCAACCCCGGGACUGCUUUGGAAACUAUG
rnacentral:rRNA from 1 species